rnacentral:rRNA from 1 species
UACGUAGGGGGCUAGCGUUGUCCGGAUUUAUUGGGCGUAAAGAGCGUGUAGGCGGCUAGGUAGGUCCGUUGUGAAAACGUCGAGGCUCAACCGUCGAGACGUCGAUGGAAACCAUCUAGCUAGAGUCCGGAAAGAGGAGAGUGGAAUUCCUGGUGGUAGCGGUGAAAUGCGCAGAUAUACAGGAAGAACACCCGUGGCGAAGGCGGCUCUCUGGUACGUGACUGACGCUGAGACGCGAAAGCGUGGGGAGCGA